GUACCUUUAACUUAACGGUAGAGUUGCUGUUUUCGGCACAGUCGGUAUUGGUUCGAUCCCAAUAGGGUACU